CAAUCUCGAAUUUUCAUCACAUUCGUGUUCAUAGUCUGUUCAGAGUUUUGAGAUGAUUCCGAACUCCAUAGCCAUGGCAGCACCAGUUCUCUUCCUACAUCCAUGUUCAACUUCUAUCUCUCUCGGUUGUCAUCAUUCUCUUUCUCAUACAAGGACAAGGCCUUUUUCAUUUCACAUCAGAGCCUCCUCCGCGCUCACCUCUUCCACUUUCUCACCUGGACUGCGACUAUCUCCUCAAAGCCACCAACAACAAUUCAUUGACGAAGAUGAUGAAAUAGUAAUCGGAGACUGUGUUGUCUUCGGAGAAGGCGUGUUUGAAGAUCCUUAUCUUGAGGAGACACUCAAUUCACAUUCUGAAGAUACUAAAACAGGUAAUGUAAAAAACACUGAAGUUAAGCCUGAGAACUUGAUACCUGAAAAGUGGAAAGAGAUUCAGGAAGAGAUUAAUCAAACUAAGAAGGACCGACGAAAGUUAGCUCAAGAAUUAGAAUUCGGUAUUCGAGUUGAGAAGAACCGGAAAGCGUCGCAACCGUUAAGGAAGGCGACUGAGGAGGAAUAUCGAGAUUAUAAGAAAGAGAAAUUGUCUCAGUUGAAACCGAUUGUUCUUGACACUCCUACCUUUCCGGAACAGAGUGAGGAAGAAGAUGACGAAGUCGGAGGCGUAGAGAGAGACGUCCGUCCACCGGAUGGCGGCAGAGUGGUACCGCGGAACCCUAGGUGGGCUGUCUAUGGCGGCAGUUUGGAUGAUAUUUCAGAUUUCUUCAACAGUGAGGAUUAUGAUCCAGAUUCUAAUGCUAAGAAUUCUGAAGGCCGGCAGAAGUUGCUGACAAAAGAUGAGAAGUUUAUACUGAAUAGACGCACUCCUAAUCUGAAGGAUGCUGCUUCUGAAAAAUGGCUGCCUCUGCACACUCUUGUAGCAUCAGGAGAAUUUUAUCUUGUUAAUACUCUGUUGAAACAUGGCGCUGACAUCAAUGUCCAGGAUAAGGAUGGAUUGACUGCACUUCAUAAAGCAACAGUGGGCAAAAAGCAGGCUAUCUUUAAUUACCUUUUGAGAGAAUCUGCCAACCCAAAUAUAAAGGAUCGGGAUGGGGCGACUUUGAUGCAUUAUGCUGUCUGGACUGCUUCAACUCAGAUGAUAAAGAUUCUUCUGUUGUAUAAUGUUGACAUAAACCUUCCUGAUAAUGAUGGCUGGACACCGUUGCAUCUGGCUGUUCAAAGUCGAAGGACAGAUAUUGUAAGACUUCUGUUAAUAAAAGGAGCUGACAAGAUGCUGAAAAACAAGGAUGGGUUAACAGCUCUUGACCUCGCCCUUUAUUCUGGUCAUAACACCAGGACCUAUGAACUCAUUAAGCUCAUAAAACAGUUGCCCAAGCCUUCAAGAGAUAUUUACAACAAAUCAUAACCAUCUCAAGAUUUCGACUGAGACAAGCUCAAAAACUGGGAUAUUAAAUGCUGAAGGUGAUCUGGUGGAACUAGACGGGAAGUUGCUUUCAGUGAGGAGCUGAUGCGAUCGAACAGUGAUCUGUAAACGAGCAAGAGUGUUCAUGCAAUUCAACGCCAAUUGAACCUGUCGCCUCACGCACAUUCCUCGAACCACGGCUUGCAGCUUCACCAGCCCUUUCAAUGCCUUGUAUGCCCUCCUUGCCUUUAAACAGAUAUAUAUGGAUAGAGUUAUAAUAUGUAGAUGAUUAGUAAGAAGUAUUCUAAAUUUUUAUUUAAAACAAGCCUUUAAUUUUUAAAACUGUUUGAGCCAUUUCUAUGUGAUAAUUUUUACAGA